rnacentral:lncRNA from 1 species
AGCUAUUGUUGCAGGCAGUUCUUAAAGCAUUCACAUCGGCAUGUCAAGCUCCGGCACCAAGCCAGGUGCUGAUCCCAAAAGGUGACUUCAAGCUUGGUGAGACCGUGAUGACUGGUCCAUGCAAAUCUCCAAUCGAGUUCACCUUGCAAGGCAACGUGAAAGCUGACGGUGGCUCUACCCAGGGAAAGGAUAGAUGGGUUGUGUUCGAAAAAAUUAAUGGUUUUAAGUUGAACGGAGGUGGAACAUUUGACGGUGAAGGCAAUGCAGCUUGGAAAGCCAAUAACUGCCACAAGACUUUUGAGUGCAAGAAACUUCCCAUCGUAGGUGUUUCUGUCUUUAAUAUAUUAACACCAAUGGCUUUUUUUAAAGAUGAUAUAAUUCAGUGAUGCAUGCUAUCUUUCAGAGUGUAAGGUUUGAUUUUGUGGAUAACGCUGAGAUAAAAGACAUAACCUCAUUAGAUGCCAAAAACUUCCACUUCAACGUUAUCAGCGGCAAGAACAUGACCUUUGAUAACAUCAAGAUCAUCGCUCCAGCUGAAAGCCCCAACACUGACGGUAUCCAUUUGGGAAGAUGUGAGGGAGUCAAGAUCCUCAACACUAAGAUCGCCACAGGAGAUGACUGCAUCUCCGUGGGAGAUGGGAUGAAGAAUCUCCUCAUUGAGAAAGUUGUGUGCGGUCCAGGACACGGAAUCAGUGUUGGAAGCCUUGGAAGGUACGGAUGGGAGCAAGAUGUCACUGACAUUAACGUUAAGAACUGUACCCUCGAGGGAACCGACAACGGUCUGAGGAUCAAGACAUGGCCAUCUGCCGCUUGCACCACCACUGCUGCCGGUAUUCAUUUUGAGGAUAUCAUCCUUAACAAAGUUAGCAACCCAAUCCUCAUCGACCAGGAGUACUGCCCUUGGAACCAAUGCAACAAGAACGUAAGUAUCUUUUAUUAGAUUCUAUGUCUUGCCACUAUCACCGUAUUCUAUGAAAUUGGAUAAAUUGGCUCAGCAAACAUAUUAUUCUGAUGGUUUUCUAGAUAUUUAGCAUUCACCAUUUUGGUUGAGGUUACAUAUAUAUGAUUAUGAUUCCCAAAGUUUUUUUCUAUUUGCAGAAACCAUCAACAAUUAAGCUGGUGGACAUUACCUUCAGGAAUAUUAGAGGAACAUCAGGGAACAAGGACGCAGUGAAACUAUUGUGCAGCAAGGGACAUCCAUGUGAGAACGUUGAGAUUGGAGACAUUAACAUUGACUACACAGGACCUGACGGUCCACCCACUUUCGAGUGCACAAACGUCACACCUAAGCUUGUGGGAACCCAGAACCCAAAGGCUUGCGUUGGACCUGUGGUCAAGGCUCCUGGCAAAGAGUAAAAUGCUGAAGCUCAUAUCAACACACUAGGGAAUUCCACCUCCAAUUUUGUUUAUUCUUUUUCUAAUCCUUUUUCAAGUCACAUAUGGGUGAGUUUUAGAAAACUGUAACAAAAAAAAAUGUAUAUUCGAUGCCAACACAUAUGUGUGAGUGCAUAAUGAUGUAAUUAAUAAGACUAAAUUAUAUAUUCUGCGUAAGUGCGUAUGAUUGUUUCUUUUUAAAAUAUUAAUAUGCGCGGUAAGUUGUAUACACUUCAAUCUUAAUUUUGUUUUCUUUUCCGAAUCUUAAAAUUAUUUAACAAGAUCUGAUUUCAAUCUUAAGAUUAAUUUAACUAAUACAGUAUUAGUUUUUUUUUUUUGAGAACUCAUUUUAAACUAGAACUCAAAUCAUUUCAAUAAUAGUUCACUAACAUAUAGUAUUCUUUCCAAGUUAUACUGAACUAGAACUCAAAGAUACACUUGUUCAUACAUAACCGAUGCAAGCAUUUGGACAACGAAACAUGACAUCGUCAUAAGUACACUGAUUGGAAAUGUAAUUUUCAAUCAAACUUUUGCUCUUUGCUUAUGAUCUCAUUGGAAAAAAUUUAACUUGAUAAUAUGAGGUGCAUAGUCUUCAUCUCUACUUUGGUUCAAUGCUCCUUAAUCAUGUUGGAUACUUUUUUAGGCUUCAAUAUAAAAAAGAAGUUCGGACAAAUUUAUUGAUAUUUCUAGUAAUAUUACUUCUAUGAUAUUGGUACUUCAAAAGAAUUAUGAGUUAUUAUAGAAACUAGGUUAAGAUCCAUGUUUUGCGCAUGAUGAAUUUUAUGUAUACAAAUGAUAUUUUUUUUAUUUUUAUUAUUUAUUUUGUGUUUAUUUACUUCAUAUUUAUAUAAUUAAAUUAGAGUAAACAUAUAAAUCAAAACUAUACAUCCUUUUAUUUAUAUUUUUUUUAUAAAUAAAUCAAAACAAUCAUUUUAUUUAUUUUAUAUGAAAUAUAAUUAAUUUGAAUGAUAAUGACAUAGAUAUCUAGUAAAAUUUAAUAUAACUUAUUAAUUGAGAUUUCCUACUCAUAAAAUUUUAUUAACAUUUAUAUAUAUAUAUUGCUGUAAAAAAAAUUAAACCAUCAAUUACAAAACUUUCAAUGUGAGAUUUAUUUUAAUACAAAUUUUUAAAUUAAAAUAUUAAGGUCUCAAUACUUUUAAAAUGUAAAUUUUGAAAUUAACAUGUUUAUGUAUUUUUAUAUGGUAUAUAGUUUAAUUUAAACGAUAUUAGGAUAUAUAUAUAUAUAUAUAUAUAUAUUUAUAUUUAUAUUUAUAUUUAAUAUGAAUAUCUAUUAAAUGAGACUUUAUAUUCAUACAAUUUUAUGAUAAUUUUGUAUCUUGUUAUAAUAAAAAAAAGUAGAUAAACCAUUGAUUACAAAAUUUCAAUGUGGGCUUUUAACUUUUUUAGUAAUUUAUAGUUUUUUUAAAUUCAUAAUAUAACAUAUAAGAAAAAGUCUAUAUUUUAAUCAUAUGGUUAAUGUGAUUGUAUAAUUACUUUUAAUAAUAUGAAAUUAAACAAAAUCGAUGGAGGUUACAAAAAUUGUUAUCAAAUCUUUAUUAUUCAUAAUCAUUAAUUUUCGUAUAUAUGGUAGUCGUAUUAGGUAAUUUCGUAACUUUUAUUUAGAUAAAUAAUGUAAAAUAUUCUUUUUAAUAUUACUAAUCAAUCUGAUAGUUAGUUUAAUAAUAAAAUAUAAUAUAUAUUUAGAUAGACCAUCUAUUUUUUCUAAGGAUCCUAAGCAUCAUUGUUGUAUUGAUACGUGGAUACAAAAAAAAUGUUGCAAUGCUUUUCAAUUAUAUAUAAAGGAUUAUGUGGUUGAAAGAAAUAAAAAAAAAAGUGCAAUGCAGUUAAGUAAUGAGGAACGAUUAAUUUUUGUUAUUAAAAGACGGAAGUCACGAACCACAUUAAUUAAAGUCAUCGAUUACUGACUGACCAAGCAAAGAUUAAAAAUAAAUUUUUUUUUGAAACCAGAUUAAAAAGAAAUUGACAACAAACAUACAUAUAUUAACGCAUAAAGUUACAAAAUACAUAUACAUAUUUGACAAACAAUAAUAGAAACGACGAAAUACAAACAAACACCUAAAACAAUUAAUUUUCAAAUACAGUCCAGCUUCUCCGAAAGUCGUCUCGUUUGCUUUUGAAAUGCUCUUUUUUAACUUAGUCAUAAACAUCUUCAUCUUUAUAACAAUAAUUAUUUCUUUUAUGAACUGGUUUGCCUUUUUCCCUUCAUGAUAUUGGGUUCAAUAGUUCCAACUUUUGCCUUUUGAAUUGUGUAAAUCUAUUUCACUAUUUGUUGACCAUUUGCAAUUCUUGCUUUUUUUUUUUUUUUUUUUGUCACUCUUGCUUUUCUUUCAUCAUAUCAUUUUUUGUUGUAUACAUUUCCCUUGAAUGAUGACUAACUUAUACAAAAUUGGAAUCACUUGCAUCAUUUUCGUGGAUUCUUUUAAACCCACUAUUUUAAUAGCAAAUAGUUACUUCUGCCUGACUACAAGAACCUAUUUAAUCACAGAUGAUGACGAGCCCCAUUCCAACAUGUUGAAAUGUAUAGUCUUGGCACUUGAACAUAGUUCAUGCGUUUUUUGUCAAUAUAUCAUUAUUCUCUGAUCAUCCCUUUUGUUACAUAGACGUUGUUAUUGUCAGUGCCAACCAUUAUUCCGAUAGUUUUUUCAUGUGGUGUAGUAAUUUUUCUAAACGAAGCAAUUAACAAUUUUGAAAACCAACCAAUGCUAACGUCCAUAUAUAUUUUCCGCAGCCUGCACAACAGGAUUAUCAGAACGUAAAUCUCCUGAAUUUCUUUAAGUUCUAGUACCUUAUAAAAUUCUACUAACAAUUUGAUAUCUUUUUUAGAUGGUGUAAAUGUAAUAACAUAAGUUGGCUAGAAACUAACCUCCCAAAAAUGGAGGUAUCAUGCAAAUGCUAUAAACACGAGUGGAACAAGUCUUAUGCCUAACAAUUGAACGCUAAUUUCCCAAAAUUAAAUUAACCUAGCUAAUACUUCCUUAAAACUGGGUCAAACAUUCUAAAAAAUGAGACGUUGGGAGAAAGUAUGGGCCUUCAACAUAUCUCUCCAUUUAAGGCACUAUAUAAAGCAGCAGGUGCGUAGUAAAAAUCUCAGAAAACAAAAUUAAAAAACAAUAAAAAAUAAAAAUAAAUAAAUAAAAAUGGGUUCAUAUUUGGGAAUCUAUACAAUUUUGGUUCUAUGUUUGCUAGGAUAUUCGGCCAAUGCUGAGGUGUUCACUGCUGGUGGUCCUCCAAAUUCUGAUAUUACCGCGGUUAGUAUCUUCACUUGUUUUUUAUUGCUUGCAUUCCAAUCAAUAUGUAAACCAUUUCUUAUAUUAACAUGCUCGUGGGAGCUAUUGUUGCAGGCAGUUCUUAAAGCAUUCACAUCGGCAUGUCAAGCUCCGGCACCAAGCCAGGUGCUGAUCCCAAAAGGUGACUUCAAGCUUGGUGAGACCGUGAUGACUGGUCCAUGCAAAUCUCCAAUCGAGUUCACCUUGCAAGGCAACGUGAAAGCUGACGGUGGCUCUACCCAGGGAAAGGAUAGAUGGGUUGUGUUCGAAAAAAUUAAUGGUUUUAAGUUGAACGGAGGUGGAACAUUUGACGGUGAAGGCAAUGCAGCUUGGAAAGCCAAUAACUGCCACA